GCUUUGAUGUCCGAGUGGUUAUGGAGUUGGACUUGAAAUCCAACGGGGUUUCCCCGCGUAGGUUCAAACCCAACUCGCAGCC